rnacentral:rRNA from 1 species
ACCGAGAUUCCCCCAGUAGCGGCGAGCGAACGGGGAGCAGCCCGGAGUCUGAAUCAGCUUGUGUGUUAGUGGAACGGUCUGGAAAGUCCGACGGUACAGGGUGAUAGUCCCGUACACGAAAGCACACAUGCUGUGAACUCGAAGAGUAGGGCGGGACACGUGGUAUCCUGUCUGAAUAUGGGGGGACCAUCCUCCAAGGCUAAAUACUCCUGACUGACCGAUAGUGAACCAGUACCGUGAGGGAAAGGCGAAAAG